CGGGUGAGUAACACGUAUCCAACCUGCCGUCUACUCUUGACAGCCUUCUGAAAGGAAGAUUAAUACAAGAUGGCAUCAUGAGUCCGCAUGUUCACAUGAUUAAAGGUAUUCCGGUAGACGAUGGGGAUGCGUUCCAUUAGAUAGUAGGCGGGGUAACGGCCCACCUAGUCUUCGAUGGAUAGGGGUUCUGAGAGGAAGGUCCCCCACAUUGGAACUGAGACACGGCCCAG
rnacentral:rRNA from 1 species